GUUGCAGCAGAGCCCUCGUGCCUCUUUUACAUACUUUCCUUCCAUGUCACAGGAAGGAAACGGAUUUUCCCCUACAGAAUGCGGGACUUGCGGUCUCGGAUUCGAUCGAAGCAUGUUUGUGAAGUAGCAGACAGUCCUCGUGCUUCGAAAUGAUGACCCCUUAGUCUAGUCUUGGCAAUUCUUGGGGGUCCAUGAACCCGCCAGCUGUUGGCAUAAUUAUGCUUCAUUUUAAAAACGCCCUCCCCUUCUUAGAGUUUUCGGACUGCAGAAUGAUGGUUAGUGAAAAAUGUGGAAUGCCAGACGGGAGACGAUGGACUAGAGAUGGGUAAAGCUGCCAUUUUCAGACAGUAAUCUCCAGCUCUCAACUUGUGUGUAAAGGCUUCUUUACUUGGCUGUUUGGCUUGACAUCUGGAAAGGAGCAGCCUUUCUCGUUGUAAGAGCAGUCCUUCUUGUGUAAUUUACCAAUCUGCAUUGGGCUGAGAAUGAGACCCUUGGGAUUUCCCUGGAGAGCGAUUUUUACUUAUUUCAGUGAUAUUUAUUUAAAAUGGCUCACUGUUUAAGUUUGCUUAGGGCAAUAGUAGCCUUUUAGUGUUGCCAUUCUUGAGAUAAUUACACAGGGAAAAAAAUUAACAUUCUUGAGUUCCGUAACCAACCGUGUAUAAAAUACUAGGCUAAAGCUGGAGAUGGGAGUUUAAUGGCUUCCUUACUGCUAGUCCCUGUAGUUGUGAUGAGUAUGAUAUACACUCAAUGGCUUAGUUCUUGAAAAAUGUUAACAAAAAGUGCUCGAAAUUUGCUCUUUAAACCCUUGUUUUGCCUUUAUUUUUUUUUGAAAAGAAACCAAGCCCUUUAGAUGGUUUGCUCUGUGCUCACUCAUGGCCUUUAUGUGUUAGACCUGAAUCCCAAAGGAGGGCCCAGAGAAACAUGGUCCCAGCCUUCGAGAUGGGUCUGCUUAGGAGAGCUAGAAACUGCAAAGGGAAAGGUUAUUAACUUUUACCUAAUGAACAAGGCAACAAGAUUAAGUGUGUUCUGUAAAAAUAAAGAUAAAGCCUUAGCCGAAAGGCCAUGUUGAGGCAAAGUAGUAAACUUGAAAUAUAAAAGAAAUGAUAGCCAGAAGGAAUCAAGAUAGGUCAAGGGUCUUGUCUGGCGUCCUCAGCAUUGUAUAAUGAUAUUCUUAAUUGAGUGCUUACAAUGUGCCAGGCACUGCCAGGAGAAAAUUUUAUACUUUUACUUCUUUUAACACUGGGAGGUAGCAAGGUUAUUCCCAUUUUGUAGGUGAGAAGAUAGUUGCAGUGUGUAAGUACUUGCCCAAAUGACACAAUUAAGAAGUGGUAGAGUCAGGAUUCAGGGUCCAGUCCGUACUCCUGGUGGUGAGCUCUGUUUGUUGAAUGAGUGAGAUUUUUGUGAGGCUAAGUUUGGAAGUUUUUCUGAAAGUGGCAACUGAAGUAUUGCCAUCAUGUAAACUUGGAAUUCAGGCUUUGUAAAAAUACUGGACUGUAGGGGAAAAUAUGAGUGAUAGAAGGAAAUUGAAAUGAUGAUCUGUAUUGUGCUUAUGGUAGAGCAAAGUCUGAUAGAAGCUUUAGGAACUACUUGAGCAAUAAAAAUAAAUGAUUAUUUUUAUGCUUGGAUGUUGUUUCUACUGUAAUAAAUGCUGAAUUCACAGCCUCUGUUUGAGUCAAGAGAUCGAGACCAUCCUGG